rnacentral:rRNA from 1 species
UACGUAGGUGGCGAGCGUUGUCCGGAUUUACUGGGCGUAAAGGGAGCGUAGGCGGACUUUUAAGUGAGAUGUGAAAUACCCGGGCUUAACUUGGGUGCUGCAUUUCAAACUGGAAGUCUAGAGUGCAGGAGAGGAGAAUGGAAUUCCUAGUGUAGCGGUGAAAUGCGUAGAUAUUAGGAGGAACACCAGUAGCGAAGGCGGCUCUCUGGACUGUAACUGACGCUGAGGCACGAAAGCGUGGGGAGCAAACAGGAUUAGAUACCCCGGUAGU